AUCGCUUCUCGGCCUUUUGGCUAAGAUCAAGUGUAGUAUCUGUUCUUAUCAGUUUAAUAUCUGAUACGUCCUCUAUUCGAGGACAAUAUAUUAAGUGGAUUUUUGGAGCAGGGACGUGAAACGGGAGCUUGCUCCGCCCAGUCCACGCAUCGGCCUGGUAUUGCAGUGCCUCCAGGUGCGGUGCGCCCCUC